GCGCCCAUAGCUCAACUGGAUAGAGUAUCAGACUACGAAUCUGAGGGUUGCAGGUUCGACUCCUGCUGGGCGCGCCA
rnacentral:tRNA from 2 species